CAGAGACUUUCUAAUACUCUUUCUCACAGCUUUGCUAUGAACUUAGUCACCAGAGAAUCUCUUCCCUAAUAAAAGGAAAGUUUGCAGUUGCUUCUUUAAAUACAGGUCUCUUGAAUCUUUACCUCUUACAAUUUCCAUACUUUUUGAGGAGCUCCCCUCAAAGUUUUUGUGGAGAACAUGUGCUCCGAUUGUGCUCCUCUGCUCUAAAUCCUGAGCCACACAGGUCACACUGCACCAAAUUAAAGGUGAACAGCAUUUAGAAGACCCAUUUGUAGCAGUUUCUGUUUUUGAAUUUCAGGUGAUUCUAAUCUCGGUGAGAAUUCCGAAGAGCCCCUGAAAGUGCCAGAACUCUAAGUCAAUGGUACCUUUGUUGCUUCUGCUCAUUUUCAGACUAAGAGGAUGAACUGAACAGCAAGAAAGUGUCUUCAUUCUACACAAGGCUGCUAUCUUUUCUAUGUAUCGCUACCAAGGAAUGAGCUGAUAAUUCCAGGCAUUGAUUGCAGCUAUCAAGAACUUAUUUGACUUCUUCUUCAGUUCUUCUAUUAUCCCUUAACAUAGCUGGAAUACACCUUCAGCCAAAAUAUUUGUUAGACACACACACACACACACACACACACAGACACACACACAGCCAUAUUGAAUGACUGCUGAAGGGAGGAAGUGCCUGAUUAGCAGAAACUUUAUGUGGGAGCUUCCUCUGAGCAGAUUGCCUCACUUGGAGAUGGUUAAUAGGACCGUGGACUGGAUCUCAAGGUGCAAUUAGUGUAGACAGCUGCAAGCUGCUUCUCUGCUGUCUUGUUGAUUUGUGACAUAUCCAGAUGUACAGAUUUCUGCUUUUAUAGAAAUAUGCGGUAGAGGGUUCAGAAAAGCUGCACUAAAAUACCAAGAAUUGUAGAAAGCCGCUUGAAUAAGUAGGGAUAGUUUUAUAGGUAUCCAAUGAGGUAAACCUCUGGUCUUUUACAUAACCAGCCUUAUUUCUGAAGGGUAUAAAAAAUAUCUAUUUAAAACUAGUAAAAACACGGCUACAUCAAAUUGUAUGAGAAGAUUAAAUGCUAGUUGCUGGGUCUCAGAUUCUUGGAAGAAGCCAUGACUUAGCAGCUAAGCAUGUAAGAGGGUCCAUGAUGCAAACUCUGCUGCCAGAGAAAAACCAACUGGAGACUUCAGGGUUGUAUGAGAGACCUCAAUCUAGGAGCUUGCAGAACUGCCAGCUAAGGUUCUAAAGCUCACUAGACUAGGUGAGCCAACACUUUGUCUCUUUUUAAAAGCAUUCAUAUUGCAGGCCAUCUUGGUAAAUAUGCCAAGGGAAUCCUGUAUGGGAUUUUUAAACACACCUGAAGUUGCUUUUGCCCUGUAGACAGAAGUCAGCUGGAGCCUUUCUCUCCUUCCUACUGAGGGAAGCGGUGAAAACCAAGAAAUGACAAGAGCUCUGCCUGCUUCUUCUGGCUUUCUCACUUUGGAGCCAGUUGCUCCCCGCACUUUUGGGGAGGCUAGAAAGCAAGAGCAUCCAUCCCAUUGCAAAACUCAUGCUAAAAGGGGUCGCCAAAGCCAUAUAUGAGCUGUGCCUAUUAGAUACCAGCAAGUUGAUUUGAAGGGAAGCUUGGGUGAGUAGAUCAAAAUAAUGAUAAUACUUUUUUAAAAAGCAUGUGGCAACUCUUUCUGUCCAAAAGGCAGAGCUUGUAUUUAGCAUUGACUUGGUGUGCCCUAUGCUAGAGCGGAACGGCCUUUGGAAGAACAAAACUGUCUGAAAUGCUCUAUGAUGGAACUUACACUUUUGCUGAAGUGUUUUCUCUCUUUUUGCCCUGUAUGUGAAUGUGCCUAUGUAUGUAUACGUAGUCCUGAGUACAUACCCAUAUGUUGCUACUAUCAAGUGGCGCCAGGGAUUUGGAUAAUUCACUGUGUCUUCAUGGUCUCACCAAAUUAUUUUCCCAUGAUUAAAAAUAACCAUUCUCGUGAAUGGCUUGCAUCAAGAAGCUUCAAGAGAUAUCUAUCAACCCACAGGAAUAUAUUCUUUCAUUAAUCCUAGGGAUUUCUCAGGAAAAAAUACUUGUAGACUCUUCAACCUGGAACCCCCGUGUGGAAAAUGGAGAUGUCCGCUUCUUCUGGGGGGAAAAGAGGAUUUCUUGAGAUCUUUUCCUUGUAUGGGAAUGUCCAGCAACAGCCAAGAGAUCUCCAGUUUUAUUUUGGAAGCCCUCAUAUAAUGCCUUAAUUAUUUAGGAUUAAUCUCUUUUUCUUUUAGAUACCUGCAUGCUUGUAGUCAUCUCGCCCACCGAAUGGUAGGGCAGUUCAAAUUAAAGCUUUGCCAAGCAUGAGUCUUCAACAGGAAGAAAGGCAAUUGUCUUCUGUCAAAUACGAUGCAGUUUCAGCUGUAAUUCUAUAUAAAUGCCAUUGUCUGCCUCUGGUAGAUGUACUGUAGGUUUCUCUAAAAGCAUUUGCCCUAGCAUCUCUUGGGAGAGGCUCUUUGACAAGAAACAUUUGACCUCCUAUCACUCUUUGAACAUUGAGGCCAAUGUGGUAGGAAUGUACAUUUUGUGGCUUUUGUUUUACCAUGGAAAUUGUAUGUAAUGUUAUGCUACCAAUGAAAAACCACAGCAGCUACUGAGCAUAAUCUCAUAAUUUUGAUUUUUGCAGAGGAAAAGCAAAUGCAGUGGACUCAAUCCCACGAAGAUCUGUUUUUGCAUAGUUUGUUCAGGGUUUCCCUCUAUGUUGCCUUACGUUGAAAAGGUCAUAUUUUCAAUUGGGACAAACAGUUAAAACAAGCAAGGUAUGGGUGGUGGCAGGUCUUAAAAUCCUAAUUCGAAGUCAUUCUCUUCCAUUUCAUUUGCUUGUCAGUAAAACAGAAAUACUGUGAAAAUCCAUGAUGCAUAACAUGCUCAUUUAGUGUUUGGGACCAGAAAAUGGAGAGGGAGGGUACCCAUUCUCUACAUGUUCUCUGUUUGGUUUUAGUUUUAGGCUGCUUUUUAAACACUGAUGUGCUUCAAUGAAAGAAGAUUUUUCCUCCACAGAUCUUUUAAAGUUAUCUCAAUGUUAAUGUUGAAUUGGGACCACAUUAUGGAUUACUUGUUGGGUUUAGUAAUGAUUUACGCAGCAUACGUCUUUGAUCUGGUCUUUUCUGUACACUUAUAGUUAGUGUACAUUGUCCUUUCCCCAGCCACCUAGUAUGAGUUACACAAUGAGAAGAUUUGUUCAUAUGGUUGGCCACACGCCUGCCCUGUUUAAAUUUUUGGGAGCAUUGUGGAAAAUUAAAGUGGUGGCCUGAUCUUUUUACCUUGCACUCCUCAGAGUAUACAGUAGCUGAAUAGACAUAGGGGUAUACUUUUCAACUUUUACUUUGUAUAUAUUUAUCUUGAGAUUUCUGGCAUACUGUGUAAUAUAAAUAUGAAUUAUAAUUUCAGCAUUUUAAAAGAAUUAAUUUUUAGUGUGGCAAUCCUCAUGGAAUGUAUGGGGGGGCUUUUUCUGCUGUAGUUGCCUAUGAUAAGAUGUCUAAAUAAAUUAUAUUGGAAAGCAA